ensembl:lncRNA
GUGAGACUUCCCUAUAGGUCCCACCUUGUGUUGCCUUCAGCACCCUGUGAUAUGAGUGGAAAUUGUGACAUUGCAGUGAGCCAGAGGGGCUGCUGAGCUUCUUUGAACAGCAUGACACAGGCUGGAUCAGGACUCCUUUCACAAAUGGAAGGGACUACUCAGCUGAGAAUGGGCAUAGCUGUAAAAUUAAGCAAAGAGCAAGAACAAGAAAUUGAAUACAGCUCCUGAGCAAAGGAACAGGGAGUUCGUGAUAGGUUAUCAGACAGUUUAGGAAGAAAUAAUUGGUUGCUACUGUGGAGAAGGGAUUGUUGCCCACUGGCACUUUAAAGUCAUUCUGUAUCCCAAGUAACAGCAAUUCAAUACCCUGGAGUCCCUUGGAAAAGCUGGAGUCAAAUGUUAAAGACACACAAGGAACUCAGACACACCGAACCAAGACCAAACCAAGCAGAGAACAGAAGGGAUUUCCUUUGCAAUCUGCUGGCGUAUCCAUUUUCUGUCAAGCUUGUAUAUAUGGCUUGUGGCUGCAUGAACAUUCUCUAAUUUUCUCACCUCUGCAUUUACAUCAUUUAUCUUUUCUUAUGUACUAUUGAAUAUCAGAAAUAAAAGCCAUAGAGCAAGUCUCAGUGGACCUAUAAUUGAAAAUCACAUUUGAAGGAACAUAAAUACUUACAUUCUGGUAUUGUUUCGUCUGGAGAAGAGAAGGCUCGGUGGAGACCUUAUCGCUCUCUACAACUACCUGAAGGGAGGUUGUGGUGAGGUGGAGGUCAGCCUCUUCUCCUGUGUAACUAGUGAUAGGACUAGAGGGAAUGUCCUCAAGUGGCUCCAGGGGAGGUUCAGGUUGGAUGUUAGGAAAAAUUUCUUCUCCAAAAUUGUG